GCAAUGAUGCGAAAGCGAUGUGCAUUCAGUAGAAGCUGUAUUUCGAAUGCUGGAUUUUGAUCUUUCCCUAGGUGAGUGAUAUGUGGUGCGAUGCUCUCUCGUGAUGCUGGGCAGCAGCAGUGAGUGCAGCUCUGCCAGCCACAGGAUCACUAGGCUGGAUGACCAAUAUUCUACAGUGGGCUGUAUGGACGGAUCACUUUGCCCAACUGUAGGCCAAUGUAAGUGUUCUGGGCAUGUUUGAGGUAGGCUAGGCUAAGCUAUGAUGUCCUGUAGGUUAGGUGUAUUCAGGGCAUUUGCAACUCAGGAUAUUUUCUUUUCUUUUUCUGAGAUAGGGUCUCACUUUGUCUCACCAGGCUGGACUGCA
rnacentral:lncRNA from 10 species